GUGUGAGCUUCGGAAUUAACUUGGUUCCUAUGCACCUCUUUCCUUCGAGGGCUGAGAAACUGUAAUUCAAGAUCGGACCCAGCUGGGAACUUGAGAAUGCCUUUUCCAUUAAGGUGCCAGAGGGCCAGCAGCGGAGUGACAUCUCACUAAUGACACGUGGUUCCACUGAGAGAUAAAGAAUCGCCAUCUCCAUUCUUAUCUCCCAAUAGUAGGUGUCCCUGCAUGAAGGGCUCUUUAAAUUUUUGUGAGCCUGAGUUCCACUUGCCCAAGUGAAGUCACUGAAGGAUCUCGGUGAAGACCCUGUGUGAGGCAAAUUGCGACGGAAAGUCAUGAAACGCGCCCAGUUCAAGCUGAAGGAGUUGCAGUGGGUCUCAGCCACCACGGCUGGAUCUUAUAGCCAACGAACUGGAAGUUCCUUUUUCCCUCAGGCAGGCACCCACCCUCUCAGGAGCUAAGCAUACUCUGUAGCAGUCUGCUCUGGAGUUUCAGAAUUAUUACAUAAGAAGCUCAUUUCAACAAGCCAUGGCCAGUUCUAUCAGCAUCAUUUCCAAGUUUCUGCUUCUAUAUAUCCUCGCCUGGAGUGCCCAAGACAUUUGCUAACUGUAGAUUGGCUGUCUCAUUUUUCACUGACUUGUAGUUCUUUAUAGUACUCAAGCUUUAUUGGCUCUGUCUAGUGAGUGGACCUUGUCAUAGGCAGUGCUUCUCUCUCAAUGAUCUCUUAAAUCCAGAGUCUCCGAUCAACUCUGCCUGAUAAUGUUUUCAUAGUUGAUGUUGUUUACCUCUUACUGAGUAAAUCUUUAUCUAUCUAAGGUCACAAAGAGCGAUAUCUAGGCUCUUGUUUCCUAGAGAGAAUUCACUCGUUUAGCUUUUAUUUUCGGAUUUGCCAUCUCUGAAGUUAAUGUUUUUACAUGACACAAGUCAAGGUUCAGGGUCUUUUCUUUCUUAUGGCUGUCUAGUGUACUUGACUCCAUCCCUUUAGAAUCACCCCUUCCUCUCCGUGCACUGUAGUUCAGAGUGACCUAUAUAUUCUGCUCUGAUUUUGGACUCUCCUCACUGAACCAUGGUCUUAUCUGUCUACGCCUGCACCAACACUGUCAAUUCAACGACUAUGCCUUGUUUAUUAUAUGCUGCAACACUGUGGAAAGUCAUGGGAUGAGGCUCUGUAAAGCUCAGCCCAGCUCUCCUGUCAACCAGUGACUUCAAACUAAUAGUUGGUUGUGCUACGUCCAGGACAUCUUUCUCCUCUGGCAUUUGCAAGACCUUUUCUUCCACCUUGCUGUGCUCUAAAUUGUAAGCCUUAGAGCUUAGAGUUGCACUGCCUGAAUUCGUGUUCUGGGGCUGAUCUGCUGCUCUCCAGAGACUUUGAGGCAUCCACCCCAGCCUACUGUGAUUCAUGCGGACAAAAUGUUUCGUGGGCCUCCUCGACAUUUAUCACUUUCGUUGCAAACUGGAGGCAAGCGUAAAUGACACUCAUCCGUAAGGAUGAUGUUUUCCCAAGGCUGAUGAGAUGGACCAAUUGAGAACAGCACCUGGAAAUGUAGUGAGGAUUGGAGAAGUACUAAUUAAUCUUUCUAUCUGAAACAAAAAUAAAAGUCUUCUCAGUUUAUACUGCUCCACCUUCAUGAAAUUUCAUCCAGGAGAAGAGGAGUAACACUGAGUCUUCAUCCGUCUUGAUUUCCAACUUCAAUCUUCUAUCUGGUAUUGUGGUCUGUGCUGCAGGUGUCGCCAGGCCCCUCAGACUGCAGACAUCUCAUGUCUGGAAAUCUCUCCUUGCUGCGUGUCCCUCUGGGUGUUCUCCUCUCACACGUUUAAUGAUGUUGGUUCUGUAUGCGGCAGCAAAUCACCCCUGGAAGCUGUGAGGCACACAUGGAUGAUUCUGCGUGAUGGGCUUCCUUCCCGAGGAAGCAGCAUACUGUCUGAGAUGCCCUAGAUGCCAGCGAUCAAUAGAGAAGCCCUCUCUUCUCCAGAGUUUUAUUUUCUGUGGUUUUAGCUAUCUAUAGUUAACUACAGUCCCCAAACAUACUAAAUGGAAAAUUCUAGAAAGAAACAGCUCAUGAGUUUAAAAUAUUAAUAUUUUAUUCCAGUUUAUUCUCAAAAUUACUUUGUUUUAGUUUUAAUAUUUAUUUCUUAAUGUACCUAAUUUAGCAAUUAAACUUACUGAAAUAGAUUUCUGUCUAAAGGGCAAGAUAAUAUACAGAGAGUUCAGGACUAGCUAUGAUCAGGCAUAACCAACCGUGGACAAGGGAGACCACUGCAGACAUUCUUAAGUAAGCCAAUAGCCAGGCAAACAACAGUUGAGCUAAGUUCCGGAAUGUGGCUCAAACACUGGCAUGAAAACUCAGGGCCAGACUGGAGUGAGUAACUAGGGUGCCGUAUACCCUUUUAAUGAAAGCUUGAGUUUAAUGUGAAUCUCCAAAUUCAAUUUUAAAAAGCAGGAACUGCCCCAAGCUAACAACACAUCUACAUGUUUUAAGUGGAGACAUGGAGUUUUAUAUGUUGGACUGAGUUUCAAGUUUGUGGCUAGAAAGUCUGGGACUUCCAUGGCAGGCAAGAACCACCUUCUGCCCAAUGAUUUAUUUAGACUCUUAUAUGCCAAUAGGUUAUGGUUUCAUCUUCCCAGGAAAAAGCACAUGUCAUGUACGAUACACAGGGACGGUUAUCUGUGGUACAUUAAGGUCACAAAGUAGACUUCAUCUUCCUACCUAUCUUGAGAUGGAAAUGUCAGAGAGAGAGGCUUGAGUUUAUGAUUCUUAGCCUCUUUGUGUUCAAGACUAGUUUCUGGAGGCCUAUGCCUUCCCUAUUUAUUCCAACUCAGGCUCUGAGGGACCUUCAUGAAUCUGUGUGGACAGACCAAGCAUCUGCCACCAAAAGCUGCUUUUGGGAUCUGGAGACAGUCACAGAGACAGCAUAGCCCAGCUUCUAGAUAAUACUCAUGGCCAAGAGGGUUGCCCAACCCUGGAACUGAGGAUGUGUUAGGAUGAAUUAAAGGGGAAGAGAUAGUGUGGAUUCUGGGCAGACUCCUGACUCACCUUGUGGAGAGCAGCUCAAGGUUCUCUAGAGUCUGAAGCCUUGCUUGGCUCUGAGUGGCAUUGAGUUUCUGAGAGGUUCUCAAAAGAACCAAGGCAUGAUUUUACCUUAGGGCAUUGAAAAAUCUGUAUUUGUAUUCCUAAUUAUCAGUUGUAUAGAAUUAAAGUCUAAAGACCACUCCUGCCCACCAAAUGGAAACCUACUUUAGAGAUUUCUCUUGUAAGGAAAUUAUAAGAAAUAGGCUACUGUCUGGGCAGACAGGCUGGUACAUGUGCCCUUCUUCACUCUUAGUCCUUGUUGUAACUCUGAAAGCUGUGGACUUAGUAUCAUCCAUCUGUCACCCUGAUUCAAAAGAAAAGGAGACAAGUGUGGAUGGUCAUGCUGCACUGGCCACAGUGGCACUGCCAUCUAUGAGGAUUCCUCAGAAGGUCCCUCUCAUGGCUGCUGAGCUCUGACGAUAGCCUCUCUUCAGAAACGUACUCUUAAGGGUUCUAUUGUUGCCGCAGAAACAUGACUUCAUAGACCUUAUUGUGAGGUAUAAAAGUAUGGUCUCUAGGGAAGGAAACACAGCUAUGUAUCUAAACAUGAAACACUGAGUUCAUGCAGGUUAUCGCUGACUGACAAUGACCUGUGCAGACCAUGAAGUCCUAAGUGUGUCAGGAUUAAACAGAAGUGGUCAUUUAUCUAAAAGGUCCUGGUACAGUGCCAAGAUGUUCAACAAACACCUACGUGCUUUCCCUUCUGUGUCUCCCUGCUGCAUGGACUCCAGCUUACUCAAUCACUGUGUAGAUAGAAACCUCGCAUAGGGAUUGAAAGUGGCUUCCUUUCACCCAUUGAUUAUACAACUCUGUUAGGACAGAAAGCACCAAGCUCCAGAUCCACGUGCACAAACAUCUCCUUAGAGUGAAAGGAAUUUUGGAAGCUUAUCAUGGGAUGUACUGAGUGGUUCUGAAGAACAAAGAGCCCUUUUGAUAUGAAAUUGAGCUUCAAGACUUCCUCGUAUUCUUAGGUUUUAGCUGUACUUCUGGUUAACCCCAUUUUUGAUGAGCACAACUUUUCUUUAGAAGUCAUUUCCCUCACUAAUUAUUUCUAGUCAUAAUGAAAUUUUUCGUGAAAUAAAGAAUCUCUUCUUUCAGCCAGUCCCAAUUUAGAUCCCAACACAGGCCUGCAAAGUGCUUCUGAGAGCCCCCAGGCAGCUGCUCUUUCUGACCUGCUACAGCAGCCUCAGAGUAAGGCCAUCCCUGAUCCCCCAAGGUCCUGGGCAGGUGCCCAGGGGCUGCUGACAAACUGCUCCACUGUAUCAAGCUGCUUCCUUGCACUGCUGCAGGGUGUCCCUUCUUCUUCUCUUGUGUCUGAUUGUUGGUUAAGAAAAGAAAAUAGUCUCUUAGACUUUGUCCUAUUGCAACAUUCUGAGUAUCUGUAACUCCAUCCCAUCUAUCUCUGUCUCCCUCCCAUGUAUAUGUCUGUGUGUCUGUGUGUCUGUGUGUCUGUGUGUCUGUGUGUGAGGGCUAAGGCGGCAGCUCAUCUACUAACUGUUCUGUAUUUCAAGAAUGAUAAACCAAGCUUAAUGUUCAUAACCCAUUUCUAUUUGUAAAGCUACUUGUAGUCCUAAUGCUAGGGAGGAAGGAGACAAGUGGACUCCUUGGGUUCACUGAGCAAUCUAGGUUAACCUAGUUGGUGAGUUCUAGGCCAGUGACUGACCCUGUCUCAAAAAGUAAAUCUAGAUGGGAGCCAGCAAGAAGGCUCAGAGGACACUUGUCCCCAACCUUGAUGACUUGAGUUUGAUCCCUAAAAUCAACAUGAUAUAAGGAGAUAACAGACACCCACUAGUCAUUCUCUGACUUCCAUAGGGGUAUGCAUUUGGGUGUACACACAAAGACACACACACACACACACACACACACACGCACACGCACACGCACACGCACACGCACACGCACACGCACACGCACACGCACACAUGAAUUAUAUACAGUAAUGUAAAGGUGCAUGUCACGCCAGAGCCUGAUACACACACAUGUAAAAAGCACUUCAACAGCUUUUAUACAUCUUACAUGCUAUUAAUUCUUGACUAAAGGUAAUAAGUCAACAUCUGCUGUUGGCUCAAUUCCUACUGUCACUUGAGGUUCCUUUCAGGGGUGAAAACACAACCCAGCUUCUGAAUCUCUGGUACAUUUCUGAGCUUUCAUUCUGCUCAAUAUCUGUGCAGGUGGGAGACAAUUGACUUUUGCUGGAACUUUCCUUGUCAUCAUUGGUCUUGUCUAUGGGAUUUCUUGAUCUUCCCCCCAACCUCCACCUCCUCUUCAAAUGACCUUAAUCAUUCAUUCCACUGUGGUUCUUCCUUAUUCUCCUUUGAAAAUGUGCUCCACCAGGGUCUCAAUGGACCCGGAGGUGAACUGCAUAUUUCUGUCCUUCUGCCAGAGUAUCCCCGGAGGUCAGAGCAUCUCACCAACCAAAGAAAAAUUAGAACCUAUUUAGAUGAUCUCUGCCCAGUGCGUGAAUCCUGUCUAUGAAGUCAAUAUUAUCAUAUACUAACUUGCUUUGCAAGGAACCAUAGCACAGUGAGUGCACUCUAUCUAUGAAGUCAAUAUUAUCAUAUAUUAACUCACUUUGUAAGGAACUAUAGCACAGCUAUUAAGGUCUAGUGCAUUAUUUUUUGGUGUCUUGCUGGAUGUCUCUACGUGUUACAACUCUCACGUGGAACUUACGUUCUUUCUCUGAAGUCAAUUUCUUUCCUCACACUCCUAUUUCUCCCAAAGGCAUCAGUCACUGUCAUUUUAUGUACAGGGCCUUAUAGAGUCAUCAAGGGCCUAUUUAUUUUUAAUUAUUAGAAUGUACUUUUAGGACAGUUUUUUAUUUCACAUCAAAACUGAAUGGCAAAUACAGAGCAUCUCCAUAUGCACCCCACCUCAACAAACUCUUCCAGAGUUCUUUCCUUACUGUCUCCCAUCAACAUGAAACAUCAGUGAGUGUAUUCCUGACUGGCAAACCUACCUUGGCAUACCAUUACUAACCAAAGUCCACCAUUCUUCUUUGAAUUUGCUGUUGUUCCUGUGUAUCCUAGUCUUUUUGAAGCAUGGGUAAUGGCAUGUGACUGUCACUGUGGGGUCAUUGUACUUUCAAGCCCCUAAGACCUCUGCCUCUUCCCUCUAUUCUUUGACUCACUCCUCUGACGUCUUUAUGUCUCCAUAGGUUACUCCUUCAAGAAUUGGAUUCCUAAUACUUUAUACUCAUUAAGAAAUAAUUUCAGCCAUUUGUGGCUGAUUCCUUUCUGUUCUAUGGACUCAAGCUUAAAAUAUUUUAUCUUGGUAGGAAAAAGCAUUUCCUUUGAAAAUGUCAAGUGUUUUUAAUGACAUUGUGAUUGUAAAUGGUAGACACUCAAGCUGAAUACAUCACUUUGAUUUCAAAAUACAUUUACUUGGCUUCUUCCCAAGUCUGGCCUCCCAAGGUUCUAUAUAAAGCUACUGUUGUGGGUUGCCCUGGUGCUGUUUUAUUCUGAUAUUAAUUUUCCUUCCUUAAGAGGGGCUGCCCACAAUGAGGGGUAGAUCACAUACUCAGGUGAUCCCAUCUAAACCUUCUCCCCAUUCUAACUGGCAAAAUAAAGGCUAGAAUCUGUAAUUGGGUUAUGGAAUGGAAAGGUGGGACUGGAGGUCUUGAAGAGUGGAGGCAGAAAGAGAGAGGAUGGAGGAAGAGGAGGUGGAAGCCAAUAUGGAGUGGAACCACAUAGCCAAUAGAAAUUGCAAAUAGUAAGGGGUCUCAUAGCUGGGGAAUAAGCUAGUAUAGUGAUAGAUCUGCCCAAUCUAGGCAUAUAAAUAUCAUAUCAUAUCAUUUCACUGGGUUGUGUGUUUUUUUUAUAUGGGCUUAUUGGAGUAAGAAAUUAGCACAAAAUUUGGCGCCCAACAUGGGGCUUAGAACCCAACUAACCUGAGAUAAAAGUCCCCCCUCCCCUCCCAAUAUAGACAGUUAGGGCUGCACUCUAAAGCUGCAGAAGUGCCUAAAUUAAAUGCUAAGUGAGUGUGAGGAGGUCUACAGAGAGCUACUGAGAAGCUCUCUCCCCAAUCCCUAAGCAAAUCGAAGCAACCUGAGGCAGCACUCCAGCCCUUGCUGGGAUUUAGGCAGCACCAACAUCACAACAUGGUUGGGGUUCACUGAGCCUAAAGAAGGAUCAAGAACCCUGGGGUGCAACUACCUGUGAAAUAACCUUCUCAAAGACACAGCAAGCUGAUCUGGGCAUCUCUGCCCGAGCAGUCUCCUCAUGCUCGUUUCUCAUCCAAAUAGGACACUGGUCUACCACACAAGAUCUGAGAUUUUAUAUGUAUGUAUGUAUGUAUGUAUGUAUGUAUGUAUAUAUAUAUAUAUAUAAAAUUUUAAGAUAUGUAAAGAUGAGAAACAAUAAAUAUCUUCUGAGUUUUAUGGGAUGAUACUUAAAAUGGUAUGACAGAGAUGGAUUUAAAGAAAAUUGACAUGUCAAUUAUCAUUAUUUACAAUGGUUACUCUCUUAGUUUAUCAUGUCUUCUCAAAAUACAUGCCCCUAAAUUUAAAAAAAAAUGAGACUUAGGAAAGGGAUUAGAAGAACUAAAGGUACAGGAUUUUAUAGGUCAAGUAGGAGAUAGAGAAGAGGAAGGGAAAGGCAGAAAUCUGAAUCUAAGCUCCCUGUUUCCUCCCUGUCCAAAGUUACAGUAUUUGCAAGUUAGCCCUUAAAAUUAUGACAUAUCUAUAAUUCAUAAUAUAGCCAGAACCAUCCACUCCAACUUAAGGGACUGGGACAAUGAUCUUUUGUUUGCCUCUAGCUGAAUUGGGGCAAGAAAUUCCCUUCUGGGAAUCAAGCUACCCUAGAUGAAAGGCAUUGACUUAAUUACUUUUCUCACUUUAUCUUGGUUAUUUUAUUAUGAACAUUUCUCCCUCUCCUUCCUUGAGUAUCAUCAUGAUGCUUAAUAGUCUUUGACUCAAAGGCUAGAUUUAGGAGAAUACCAAGAAUCAGAUCUUUAUUUUAAGAGAAUUUUCAUAGGUGAAUUCCAAAACAAAAUGUAGUGUUUAAAAUGAUUUUCCUCUCAGAGAUUUUAUUUUUAAAUAAAAUCUGAAAUGAUAAAUAUCUUAAAUCAAAGUUUCUGGAAAACUACAUACUCUUGCUCAUUUUUCUACUUUUCCCUUAACAUGUGUAGCCCAGGCUAGCCCUGAGCUUCAUAUAUAGCCAAGGAUGACUCUGAACUGCUGAGUGCUGGAAUUAAAGAUGUGCAUCAUCAUGCCUAGUUUAUGCAGUGUUGGGGAUCAAAUCCAGAUUUGCUAUAUGCUAGGGGGGACAUUCUACCAACUGAGAUAUCAUAGAACAUGUUUUAGUUCAGAUCGAUGUCUUUGAGAGUGCUAUAAUGACAGCUUAACUGAGCUGUUUAAAGGAUUAGAAAUGUGUGCUGAACUUUAAUCAUCAUUCCCGUUGAGCCUCCUGCCCUCCACUGCCAGCCUGCGGCAUAUGUUUAAGGACUAAACUGAGAUUUAAAUAGCUACAGUCUGGAAGUGCUUAUGGAAACCUCCUCAAAUUUUCAAGUCUGCUUUGAGCAAACAACAUUCAUGCAUCUUUAAUGCUAAGCACUUCAAGAGGGCUCCUGAACAAAAGCUAUUUCAGUGAUUCAGGGUUCCAGAAGGCAGGGUUUCUUUGUGUCUCUGACAGGACCUAUCUAUCAAGCUUGUAGGGAAGAUCUCUUUCAAACAUGGAGAUGAUAGCUCAGCCUUUUAAGGUUGCUUUCUAACUUUGGCCUGUAGUCAGCAUUAGCCCACGGACCCUUCAAGUCACUUCCAAGUUCACCUGCUCCAGAAACAUCACUCUCCUUAACUUCUUUUGCAUUUGUGUACAUGUUGGUAUGUAUGCACAUGUGUAGGGAUUGAUGUGCAUGUGUGUACAUGUGGCGGCCAGAGGUCCAUGUUGGGUGUCUUCCUCAAUCACUCUUCACUGUACGUCGUGAGAUAAGUUUUCUCAUUAAGCCUUGAUGUGGCUAACCUGGCUGGCCAGUGAACCCCAGGAACUCCCCGCACAACAGGAAAAGACUCUCUUCUAUGUGGGUUCUAGAUAUCUAGAACUCUAGUCCUUACUUGAUCAUAUCUGACUUUGAGCCCUCACGUGAUCAUAUCCCAGUCCAUUUUUUAAUAGUCAUGGUGCACCAGAAUCUUGAUUGCUUAGUGUAUUAAUCCACAAAGCACUCUUCUCUCAUUUUGGUCACUGUGGUUUUUUCAUUUGUUUGUUUUGUUUUGUAUAUAGUUUUAUUCCAUCUUAUUGGCCCAUGGUAAAAAAAAAAUCCUUCAUGAGUACCUUUUUUAGUUUUUUAAUUGUGUUAAGCUUUUCUGCUUUAUUAUCUAUAGCAUACUUUCAUGGAUCUUUGGUCCUUGAUAAUAUGUAAAGAUGUUUUCUCAUCUUUCUUUCCCCUUCCCAAUGGGCAUAAUUUAGAUUGUCUGUAGGCAGGUGGGAUGGCAUUCCACAUCCCGAGGCAGAGCACCAUUACUGUUACAUGAACAGGGUACCAACUUGGGAGGAAAGCAGAUGGCUGAGUCCAACUUCCUCUCUGCCAAGCAAGACUAGGACCCACCCAGGAAUCUAGGUCAUCAGAUCCUCUCAGAAGCACAGUUCAGAGAGUAUGAACAGCAUGGAGAACACUGUUGCUAUGCAUGACAUGUUUGUAGUGCCUCUUCCUGUUGCCAAUAAUACCUAAUCUUUCAAAGCAGCAACCUAGGGCAAAGGUAAGCCAGUCAUCUAGGUCCUAUGGAUGACCAAACCCUCCCUUCCUAUAUCCUCAGAUCACUUAGUGACUUUCAUGCUAAAGACUACACAUAUCCUUUCACGAUUUGUUUCCCUCAGAAGAUCAUCACAAUAGAGGGUCUUUCAUUUGGUUACAAUGAAGAAAAACCAAGUUGAGAGUAAGAACUGGGUUAGACAGGCCUUUUACACUGAAGGAGAAGUGAACAUUGGUGGUUUGGAGGUCAAGGACCUCAGGGGCUGAUUAGUUCCUAAAGUCUGGGAGCAAGCUUUCCUUAGGGCUGUCACAAUUGAGGAAGGCUUAGUCUAGAACACAGUUUAAUUUAAAAAACAAAGUCCAUUAACUACGGGAGUUUUUAGUCAAGGAAUAGGCAGGACCAGUGGAUCAGAAUGUGCUGGGAUGAAGUACCAAGUUGAAGGUGGAGUCUUGCUGAACCAAGUUAGCAGUUUUUUUGGGAACACUCACAAUACAGUGACAAAUAAAAAGAUCAAAAAUUGGAAUACAAGAAUCUCUACCUGAUUGUCAGAGCUCAGGGGGAGCCUGAAGUAGACCUGGGUCAAGAAAAAAUUCUCUGUCAGGUCAUCGAACAGUAAAAGCCAUUUCUGGUCCCCUCCAGCAUAAUUGUGUGCUCCAAUGAAAGAUCAUGUCUACUGAGCUAUGCCAUUGAAUAGCAUCAGAAGUCAGGGGUUAGAAGUCACAGAGGAAAAGAGGCUCAGUCAUUAAAUCUGCACAUGGCUGUUGGAACCUUUUGUUUCUAUGACUAAUGAAGUCAGGGUUCGGAGAAUUAACUAAACAUAAGGGUUGAAUAAGAACAUGUGAUAAAUGUUAGACAGUUCACUUCAGAGGCAAUUUCCCUUUCCACAUGCUUCAGCUAUUGGGUCCAUAUGCCGCCUUCUCAUUAUGUGCCCCGGGCAUAGACGUGUCCCCUUGCUCUAGGGAGAAGGAAAUCAGAUUGUCCAUAAUGUUCAAGGCCAAAGCUUCUUGGUGCCCCUCUCCUCCUGGUGUCCUGUUCCUGGUGUUUCUUUGUCCCCUUUCUCUACUCCACGUCCCUGGAAUCAAUCCUUUGAACAUGGGAGAGAGAUGCAUGAUACUAAUGAUUUUGUGCAAUUGGCAAGACUCAUAGGGGAAGUUCUGAGGCUAAAGCCAAGCUGUGCAGCUGUCUCACUGACUGCUCCCUGCAACCAGUGAUCAGGAGACUCACAGAUGUGAUUCUCACUCCAUGCCUAGCUGAGCAGAAGGCUGUGCCAGCAACAUCUCAAUGAUGGUCACAAUGACAGCUACUAAAAUUUGGGAAGUGUGUAAAGAAGACAUUGAUAAUAACUCAGGAAUAAAAGGUGAUGGGAAAACUUCUUUACACAAGCAAAAAUGCCCAUGGGGACCUUCAGUUGGCACAGGAUUUCGGACCAAGGUGUGCAAUCCCCUUGCGGGACGUUUGCUCAACCAGGGGUUUGGAUACCAGUUCUUGGGCAGCCCCAGCUCUUCCAGCCUGUGCUCAUUUCUUUCCUGGUGUUUCUCUCCCUCCCCCAACAUUCCUCUUACAGAAAGAACAUAUGUACUUUGUUAGUGGGUUGCUGGGGAAUGUAGAGUGACAAGGGAAAACUGAGUUCCCUAGAAAUGUCACAUAACUGGCUUCCUGGAUACAAAGAGCUGGGAGCACACAGUGUUUGGGGCUGCCUUUGCCAGUUGUAACUCAUCCCUCAGCCUGAGGAUAAUUCAGUGACCAAGCCCAUUCGUAAGGCCUGGGAAUAAACAGAUAGUCUGAGAAAGCAGGAGGCAUCUUCCUCUCCUAGCACAUUCUGAUACCCAUGUUGUGAGCAACUGAAUGGAGUCUUGGAGAAGGAGACAGGCAGAAACACUACAAAAAAGUAUAUCAUCCUCUAAACCUACCUUCAUUGUUCACACAGGGUGACCCUUUCCUAAAGAAUAGUGCUGAAGACGCCAUUCUUCUAAUACCUAUGUCAUUCUACUGUUGAACAUGUUCAGCCUUUCCCUCGGCUGCUUUUCGUCUGUAUUUGUUGCAAUGCAGUCGACUAAAUUCUCAUCUCUCACCUCACCUUCCCACAGAUGUGAGAUUACAAAUGGGAAGUCCUCGCAGAUACUGUAGAACGCCCAGCAUCUACCGAGUUCUAGAAUAAUGACUAGUCAUUAUUCUGCCUUUACGUAUUUAUCCAACCAGCAUGUAUUGUGCACUUGCUGUGUACAUUAGUGCUGGCCAGAAGAGGGAGAGGAGGCACAGAGAGAAUUAGUUUUUAGACGUAUUUAGUAAUUCUAAUUCUAAUUAGUAAUUAGAAUUAGCAGACGUAUAAGAAGAGAAUUUGGUGAAUUAUCUUCCACAUGUCUUACUUGACUAGCAUAUAUAAAAUCAUGAAUUGCUGUAUCAUUAAGGUAAACCUUACUGAGAUACUUUAUGUCAUCAGUCUGUGUUCUGCCCUUCUAGUCCUCUGCAGCUUCAGAGAGCUAAUGGGUCCCAGGAGAGAGACCUUGUCAGUGUACACACAGAACAAUAAACAUCCCCCACCCCAUUCGGUCCUUAAUUAUAAAGCAAAUGAGCAAUCCGCCCACCGGGUUGGAAUUAGCUGACAAACUACGUAACAGGCCAGUCUGCCUCAGGAAACUCUGGUAAGAAAAAGAGAGCCUUCAAAAUAUAUGUAGGCUUGAAAUGACAUCAUCGAAGGAGUUGGGGAAAGCGAAACCUCUUGUAAAGAACAAAAAACAUAAAGAAGAAAAGCAAAACAAACAAACAACCAAACGAACUAACGAAACCAGAGACAGGAAAACUAGCAAGCAACUUGAAAGGUUGAAUACAGCCAGGCAUCUCGGGGGGGGGGGGGGAUCCCAAGCGUGAACCUUAAGUAGUGAUUUGAUCCAAUUUGAAGAUUCAUGACCUGGAAGAAAACGCUC